rnacentral:rRNA from 1 species
UACGAAGGGGGCUAGCGUUGCUCGGAAUCACUGGGCGUAAAGGGUGCGUAGGCGGGUCUUUAAGUCAGGGGUGAAAUCCUGGAGCUCAACUCCAGAACUGCCUUUGAUACUGAGGAUCUUGAGUUCGGGAGAGGUGAGUGGUACUGCGAGUGUAGAGGUGAAAUUCGUAGAUAUUCGCAAGAACACCAGUGGCGAAGGCGGCUCACUGGCCCGAUACUGACGCUGAGGCACGAAAGCGUGGGGAGCAAACAGG